UAUUGUUGUAAACAAAAAUCUGCCUUUUUCCCUUAUGGGGUAUCCAAGAAGCUACAUAAGGACUCUGUAUGGGCUCUUAGAUACCCCAUAAGGGAAAAGGGCAGAUUUUUGUUUACAACAAUAU